rnacentral:lncRNA from 1 species
UCAUGACCUCUUCCAGGAAAUCCUCAACUUCCAUCCCUUUUCUUAAGCCCGCGCCACCAAAAAAAAAAAAAUCCUUAUCCCCCUCCGUAUUUUGUAUAGCAAAUUCUAUGGGCUCAAGCCCCCUGAAUUGUUGUACUAUUUAGUUCCAUUUGUAUGAUGCUUUCUGUAACCCCUGAAAAAGGAUAGAGUAAUUAUAAUCAAUAUUUUUUCCUUUUUUUUUUCUUUUUUAAAGGAUCUCCUCUCGAAGUUUGAUUUGAUUUUACGAAACAUGAAUGUCUGUCUUGAUAAAUGAAGUUAAAACUCUUUGGACGAAGUGAAAUACAGGUGAAAGAGAAUGGUUUUCAUUGAAGCAAGUUCUUUUGUGUUGGUGACUAGAGCACGCUGAUAGUGUUAAAACCAAGUAGAGUGAUUCUGGUAAAAUAGCCUAUAUUAGUUGACAUUCUGCUGGCUUAGGAGCAUGUGUGACAGUGUGCUUUGUAUGGGGCAAUUGUGCUUCCAAAUUUCAGCAGACUUUAUGAGCCCUGCCUUCCGUUUCACACCAUUUACCAAGAUUUGCUGUUUGAAAAACUUUCCAAAACCUGCUUUUGACGUAUCUCCAGUUGUUUCUUCCACGAGUUUGUAAUUUGGGUGACAUUUUUGCUUUACGCAGAGAAUUUACCUCCAGACAAGUUUCUCUUCUGCCCUUGCUAAAGCAAGGUUUCCCAUUUAAGUUCUGUGGAAG